GUGCCUAAAUUUAAUGAGUAAGGAAAACCAUUGAGUCUUGCUAAUCGCUUGACAGAACGCUUCAAGGCAAUAUGGAAUGCAAAUUCCAUAUGAAGCAUCAAUUUUUGAAUGGGUACAGGUCGUCCCUUUGAACUCAUGAGUCCACUACUUUUCGGACUGUAGAGUUUGGGUGAAGCGAUCUUGCCCA
rfam:Stomoxys calcitrans breed 8C7A2A5H3J4 unplaced genomic scaffold Scaffold757, whole genome shotgun sequence.